CACCCACGUGUCCCUCUGUGGCUGAGACGAACCUUUCUCGAGGCGCAGCGAGAGCGAUCGAGGUGGGUGUGAAGGAGAAGAAGAAGAAGAAGAAGAAGAAGAAGAAGAAGCGCCAGAGUUGGCCGAUCGCGGGUUGUAGCAUUGGGACCUGCCGGUGGGAAUCCCACAGCCUCUGCCUCGUCUUGGACAAGGAGCGCAGCCCCGCCCCGCACGGUGGUCGCGGUGCCCUCCCCUCCGCCGGCGGCAGCCCCUCCGACAUCCUCUCCCUCACCGGAGACGGCUGCUCCUCUCUUGCCUCCCUAUCUUAUCUUAUCUUAGAUUAGCCUUUUCCCCCUUCUUUGACUGGUUCACCUGAAAGGACAGAUAGAGAGAAAGAGAUAAAGAUGGUGACCAUCAGGAGGGUUCCCACCGUGCUCUCUACCUGCCAGGAGGAUUCCGGCCAGCCCGGGGGCUGCGGCCGAAACUGCCUCGGCAACUGCUGCUUGCCUGGUGACGCACAAAAUCGCAUCUUGAUUUGUAUUAUUCCUCCAAGAUUCUGUUUGUUUCUUGCUGUAGAAUUGUUUACAGUAUCCAAACUUCCCCUUUAUGCCUUCGGCAGCGACGCAAGUCCGAAAGUUUCUCCCCCCGGUGUCGACGAACCACCGUCCGAUUUCUUUCUCAAGACCCUUUUGCAGGGGCAGGUAUUACCGUUCUUGCUGGCUCUUCAUAUGGCAGCAGAAGCAGCAAGGCCCUUACUUCAAGCUCGGGUACAAUAGCUUAGUUGAGAGAUCUCCCAUGGAGAGGGUUCCAAUUUGCUGAAGGAAGGUCUGUCCCAGAGCAGAGUGAAGGUCUCACAAUUGCUCAAUUAAAGACAAUUCCAUGGCAUUAUGCAUGUUAUGCUGAUUCCUAAUAAUUGGUUCUGAAGCAAAAAGAAAGUCUCUUUCUGAGGCAAGGUUUGAAGAAGCGAAAGCUUCAAUCUUUUGAGGCCACAGGUGUAAUGGAGUCCGAGGAGACUAAAGGAACACCAUUGAAGUCCUCAUCUUCCAGGGGGGUGUUGCUUAGUCCUACAAUGAGCAAGACGGCCUGAGCUGUGCUUGCUGCUGCUGCUAUUCGCUGCAUUUGCCUAGUUGUUUCCGAGGGGAAUAAGAAGCAGAUACUCUGUCUCACCUCGACACUAUCCGAACUAUCUUCUCUUUGUAUUUGUUCUUCAGAAUACUUUGCCUAAAUAUGCAGGUUAUUUGAAUAAAGCAGAUUGUCGAUUUCAUUGUAGGAUUUUGUACCCAUUGAUAAUUUAAGCUUCCAUUAUUAGCUGGGGUUCUCUUUGUGACGAACAGCAAUGGCAGCUUUAAUUCUGUCCUUA